UACGUAGGGUGCAAGCGUUGUCCGGAAUUAUUGGGCGUAAAGAGCUCGUAGGCGGUUUGUCGCGUCCGCUGUGAAAACUCGGGGCUUAACCCCGGGCCUGCAGUGGGUACGGGCAGACUAGAGUGCGGUAGGGGAGACUGGAAUUCCUGGUGUAGCGGUGAAAUGCGCAGAUAUCAGGAGGAACACCGGUGGCGAAGGCGGGUCUCCGGGCCGUAACUGACGCUGAGGAGCGAAAGCGUGGGGAGCGAACAGG
rnacentral:rRNA from 1 species